rnacentral:sRNA from 1 species
CAGCAUCAAAAGCAGAAUGAUUGACCACUUGUUCCUACAUAGAUGGAAGUGGAAUCCUGUGGACCACUAAGCCCUCCUUAGGAGCACCACAACAGAGAAAAACAAUGUGUACAUAAUGGAGGGCACACACCAGAAGCUUGAGACACCUAACUGCCUUCAGGAAGCCAAGCCACCCUGGCAGAAGAUGAUUUAAAAUUGGUGAUUCUAUUCUGACCACCGCAACCACCACCAGCAUCAUCAUUAUCAUCAUCACCAGCAGCAGCAGCAGCAUUAUAUAUAAUCACUGUCAUCAUCACAUCUUCAUUGCAAGUCUAGCAUGAUAUAUUUCACUGCACCAGGUAACUGAGUUUCAAGGAGGCAUAAAGGCCUUGAGGAUCUUAAAGCCAAGUUUGGAAGUCAGAGUAAUUACGUUUAGAAGCCUGCUCACUGGCAUUAAUCGUCUAUUUCUUCUCCAUUAUUCGGGAAACUGGUACUUUCACCUUUACUUUUCAUUGGUUAGAAAGUGAUUACAUGGACAAAAACCUGCUGAGCUAUGGACUUUGAGAUCCAAGCUUCAAAUAAUGGGCACUGGACGAUCUCAGGAGCACAUGGAAGCCCUGUGGCCAGGCACGCUGGUCAUAUACAGUAGGUGGAAGCAACGGAAGGUGUCUGUGGAUCUCACCUGAGUGUGACAGGGAAUGGUAAGUGCAAUAUGUUAUUUAAAGGGAGACUAACUGGCAGCUCCCUCGAGUAGUUGAAGAUUUGGGUAAUGCACUGCUUCAAUUGACAUAACUUCCUGAUCUGUACACAUGAGGAAUAUUUGAAAAGGUUUUACCUUUACUAGCUGCUGACUAGACUAUAGUCACUGGCAACUGAGCAGAAAGCCUAGCUGCUUGUUAAUGCACCUGAGAUAUACCACGUGCACUCAAGACGGGGAGCUAUUGGAGGUGUAGUCAAGAAACAUGGCCUUCUCCGAUUUCAAGGCUUAUCUGUUUUGCUGAACUAAUGUGUUUCUAUUCUCAUCGACAUUUUCCAUAGUGUUCUGUUUUUGCCCAUGUUUUAAAGGCCUGUAAGAACAGCUUAGCGAGAUGAUGAAAGGAAGGACAUUGUC